rnacentral:rRNA from 1 species
GAUGAACGCUGGCGGCGUGCCUAAUACAUGCAAGUCGAGCGAACAGACGAGGAGCUUGCUCCUCUGACGUUAGCGGCGGACGGGUGAGUAACACGUGGAUAACCUACCUAUAAGACUGGGAUAACUUCGGGAAACCGGAGCUAAUACCGGAUAAUAUAUUGAACCGCAUGGUUCAAUAGUGAAAGACGGUUUUGCUGUCACUUAUAGAUGGAUCCGCGCCGCAUUAGCUAGUUGGUAAGGUAACGGCUUACCAAGGCAACGAUGCGUAGCCGACCUGAGAGGGUGAUCGGCCACACUGGAACUGAGACACGGUCCAGACUCCUACGGGAGGCAGCAGUAGGGAAUCUUCCGCAAUGGGCGAAAGCUUGACGGAGCAACGCCGCGUGAGUGAUGAAGGUCUUCGGAUAGUAAAACUCUGUUAUUAGGGAAGAACAAAUGUGUAAGUAACUAUGCACGUCUUGACGGUACCUAAUCAGAAAGCCACGGCUAACUACGUG